rnacentral:rRNA from 1 species
CUACGGGUCGCAGCAGUGAGGAAUAUUGCACAAUGGGGGGAACCCUGAUGCAGCAACGCCGCGUGGAGGAUGACGCAUUUCGGUGUGUAAACUCCUUUUAUAUGUCAAGAAAAUGACGGUAGCAUAUGAAUAAGCACCGGCUAACUCCGUGCCAGCAGCCGCGGUAAUACGGAGGGUGCAAGCGUUACUCGGAAUCACUGGGCGUAAAGGACGCGUAGGCGGGUUGGAAAGUCAGGUGUGAAAUCCUACAGCUUAACUGUAGAACUGCACUUGAAACUUCUAAUCUAGAGUAUGGGAGGGGGAGAUGGAAUUAGUGGUGUAGGGGUAAUAUCCGUAGAUAUCACUAGGAAUACCUAAAGCGAAGGCGAUCUCCUGGAACAUUACUGACGCUAAGGCGUGAAAGCGUGGGGGGCAAACAGGAUUAGAUACCCUGGUAGUC